UCCCUGAUAGCUCAGUUGGUAGAGCGACGGACUGUUAAUCCGCAGGUCGCAGGUUCGAGCCCUGCUCGGGGAGCCA
rnacentral:tRNA from 36 species